rnacentral:rRNA from 1 species
AGCGUACACGGUGGAUGCCCUGGCAGUCAGAGGCGAUGAAGGACGUGCUAAUCUGCGAUAAGCGUCGGUAAGGUGAUAUGAACCGUUAUAACCGGCGAUUUCCGAAUGGGGAAACCCAGUGUGAUUCGUCACACUAUCAUUAACUGAAUCCAUAGGUUAAUGAGGCGAACCGGGGGAACUGAAACAUCUAAGUACCCCGAGGAAAAGAAAUCAACCGAGAUUCCCCCAGUAGCGGCGAGCGAACGGGGAGCAGCCCAGAGCCUGAAUCAGUAUGUGUGUUAGUGGAAGCGUCUGGAAAGGCGUGCGAUACAGGGUGACAGCCCCGUACACAAAAAUGCACAUGCUGUGAGCUCGAUGAGUAGGGCGGGACACGUGGUAUCCUGUCUGAAUAUGGGGGGACCAUCCUCCAAGGCUAAAUACUCCUGACUGACCGAUAGUGAACCAGUACCGUGAGGGAAAGGCGAAAAGAACCCCGGCGAGGGGAGUGAAAAAGAACCUGAAACCGUGUACGUACAAGCAGUGGGAGCCUCUUUAUGGGGUGACUGCGUACCUUUUGUAUAAUGGGUCAGCGACUUAUAUUCUGUAGCAAGGUUAACCGAAUAGGGGAGCCGAAGGGAAACCGAGUCUUAACUGGGCGUUAAGUUGCAGGGUAUAGACCCGAAACCCGGUGAUCUAGCCAUGGGCAGGUUGAAGGUUGGGUAACACUAACUGGAGGACCGAACCGACUAAUGUUGAAAAAUUAGCGGAUGACUUGUGGCUGGGGGUGAAAGGCCAAUCAAACCGGGAGAUAGCUGGUUCUCCCCGAAAGCUAUUUAGGUAGCGCCUCGUGAAUUCAUCUCCGGGGGUAGAGCACUGUUUCGGCAAGGGGGUCAUCCCGACUUACCAACCCGAUGCAAACUGCGAAUACCGGAGAAUGUUAUCACGGGAGACACACGGCGGGUGCUAACGUCCGUCGUGAAGAGGGAAACAACCCAGACCGCCAGCUAAGGUCCCAAAGUCAUGGUUAAGUGGGAAACGAUGUGGGAAGGCCCAGACAGCCAGGAUGUUGGCUUAGAAGCAGCCAUCAUUUAAAGAAAGCGUAAUAGCUCACUGGUCGAGUCGGCCUGCGCGGAAGAUGUAACGGGGCUAAACCAUGCACCGAAGCUGCGGCAGCGACACUAUGUGUUGUUGGGUAGGGGAGCGUUCUGUAAGCCGUUGAAGGUGUGCUGUGAGGCAUGCUGGAGGUAUCAGAAGUGCGAAUGCUGACAUAAGUAACGAUAAAGCGGGUGAAAAGCCCGCUCGCCGGAAGACCAAGGGUUCCUGUCCAACGUUAAUCGGGGCAGGGUGAGUCGACCCCUAAGGCGAGGCCGAAAGGCGUAGUCGAUGGGAAACAGGUUAAUAUUCCUGUACUUGGUGUUACUGCGAAGGGGGGACGGAGAAGGCUAUGUUGGCCGGGCGACGGUUGUCCCGGUUUAAGCGUGUAGGCUGAUUUUCCAGGCAAAUCCGGAGAAUCAAGGCUGAGGCGUGAUGACGAGGCACUACGGUGCUGAAGCAACAAAUGCCCUGCUUCCAGGAAAAGCCUCUAAGCAUCAGGUAACAUCAAAUCGUACCCCAAACCGACACAGGUGGUCAGGUAGAGAAUACCAAGGCGCUUGAGAGAACUCGGGUGAAGGAACUAGGCAAAAUGGUGCCGUAACUUCGGGAGAAGGCACGCUGAUAUGUAGGUGAAGCGACUUGCUCGUGGAGCUGAAAUCAGUCGAAGAUACCAGCUGGCUGCAACUGUUUAUUAAAAACACAGCACUGUGCAAACACGAAAGUGGACGUAUACGGUGUGACGCCUGCCCGGUGCCGGAAGGUUAAUUGAUGGGGUCAGCCGCAAGGCGAAGCUCUUGAUCGAAGCCCCGGUAAACGGCGGCCGUAACUAUAACGGUCCUAAGGUAGCGAAAUUCCUUGUCGGGUAAGUUCCGACCUGCACGAAUGGCGUAAUGAUGGCCAGGCUGUCUCCACCCGAGACUCAGUGAAAUUGAACUCGCUGUGAAGAUGCAGUGUACCCGCGGCAAGACGGAAAGACCCCGUGAACCUUUACUAUAGCUUGACACUGAACAUUGAGCCUUGAUGUGUAGGAUAGGUGGGAGGCUUUGAAGUGUGGACGCCAGUCUGCAUGGAGCCGACCUUGAAAUACCACCCUUUAAUGUUUGAUGUUCUAACGUGGACCCGUGAUCCGGGUUGCGGACAGUGUCUGGUGGGUAGUUUGACUGGGGCGGUCUCCUCCUAAAGAGUAACGGAGGAGCACGAAGGUUGGCUAAUCCUGGUCGGACAUCAGGAGGUUAGUGCAAUGGCAUAAGCCAGCUUGACUGCGAGCGUGACGGCGCGAGCAGGUGCGAAAGCAGGUCAUAGUGAUCCGGUGGUUCUGAAUGGAAGGGCCAUCGCUCAACGGAUAAAAGGUACUCCGGGGAUAACAGGCUGAUACCGCCCAAGAGUUCAUAUCGACGGCGGUGUUUGGCACCUCGAUGUCGGCUCAUCACAUCCUGGGGCUGAAGUAGGUCCCAAGGGUAUGGCUGUUCGCCAUUUAAAGUGGUACGCGAGCUGGGUUUAGAACGUCGUGAGACAGUUCGGUCCCUAUCUGCCGUGGGCGCUGGAGAACUGAGGGGGGCUGCUCCUAGUACGAGAGGACCGGAGUGGACGCAUCACUGGUGUUCGGGUUGUCAUGCCAAUGGCACUGCCCGGUAGCUAAAUGCGGAAGAGAUAAGUGCUGAAAGCAUCUAAGCACGAAACUUGCCCCGAGAUGAGUUCU